rnacentral:ncRNA from 2 species
AGCAAACUGCGGGGGAGCCGCAAUGGCUGAGAGUCUGGUCCCGCGACGGCGGGAGUGGAGACCCCUUGAACCUGAUGCGGGUAAUGCCGCCGAAGGGAGCGAGGGUCCGAUGCCG